AAAAGACCUCCCGGGGGAUUUUCCAGCAAAGGCCUUACAAACGGACACCGAUGUCAGCCCGCGACGAUAAAUGAUGAUAAGUUUAUAAUCUGGGCUCAGUGGAGGACCGCUAAUCGCGCACUUCCGACUCGCAAUCUUCACGUUAUUGUGCGAUUUUAUUUCACGCAUCAUCCAGAGUCCAUAUAAUUUACAAACUCCGUGCCAAGAUCCACUGACCCAAAUACCGCAUUUUAUGUUCUCUUCAUCAAGCAGGCGCGUUUAUUUUCGUGUGUCUGGGAGAAAGUGAUAUGUUGUAAUGAUACUAACUACAAAGCCAUAAAACACUGGACAACACAGUUUGUGCUGCUUUCCUUCCAGAAAAAAAACUUUUUUCACACAAGAUGCGGAAAGAAUUGUUGGAGGGGGAGGGUGUUAUAUAUUCACCAGAAAGUAAACAACUUGUAGCCGUAAGAUAAACUUCACACCCCGUUGAAAAUUAUAUAGACAAGCAACUGCAAGUUGCUUCCUGUCUUUGGUGAGUAGGCGUCAAUGGCUUUUUGAUAUAGUUUGUGAGGGGAGUACGGACUAGGCGCGUAUGGCUGCCGUGUUGAAGUAUCGGCGCGGAGCUCGCACGUCAGUCAAUGGGAGAGUCGUAGUGAGCUGUAACCCGAUCCGCCAGCGACUCUUAAUAGAGACCUGGCAGUGUUUGGUAGCUAACAAUCCCCGCGUUUGUUUCUGGCGAUCAGUUGGCAGUGCCAUGACGCCUCCUAUUUGGAUAUGACACAGAUAAAAUUACGACCCAAAACAAUGUGGAUGUCAGGGAGGGCCCGUCCCCGCAACCCUAGUCAAUGUGGAGAGCACCAUGCAUGAGUGGGGGGCAACUAUGCGCGUGAUUUGGUGGUGAGGAAUUCGUGAGAUACACCAACCCCCUCUCUCCUCGUCUUUUACGUCUCUAAAGUUUGGUAGAUUUGUUCCCACUUUUUAAAUUCUAAAUAAAUGAAAAAUCCUAAACAUAAUGACUGGAACUUACACAUCUGUCGCGACGUACCUGACUAUACGAGAAUGUCGGAAGUUCGACAUCGAGAGGGGCAAAAUUAACAAAAUCCUUCCGAAAGCACCCCUCCAAAAGGGUCACUUCCGAAACAGAACAGGUAGUCCUGACUUCUUGCGACCCCUUUUCCUGAGCUGACGCGGAGCAUUGUCGCCGUGUUUGGCUUGCCAUUUAUAGGGAAAAAUCUUUUCCCCCGAAUAACUAGUCUCCGUUUCCUCUGUAUUUUAGGGAUAGGGUUUCGGUGACAAAGAAUGGUGCAUUAGAGUCAAAGAAAAUUGUUUACUCGUAUCUGUAUGGGGGACUGAAAUAAAUACGAGCUCACACAACCCGUGUUUGAGCACUUGGAGCGGCUUUGUCCGCUUAAUUGUCAUAUCCAGCCAGGCCUUUCAUGGAGACGUCAAUCAUUGCGGGUUGAGUUAAUACCCACAUCACAAACACAGAAAUUAGCCAUUGAGGGCGCGGUUGAGUGACAGGCGGGGAAUUCAGGUGGGAGUGCUCCGUCAGCGUGGGGGAAAAUGUGUUGUCGGUACAACCCACCACAACAUUGCUUACAACAACUUGUGCUGUCUGUACAUCCACCGGCAACAAUUACAGGGUUACCUUACACGGCCACCCAGGGUGCCCUGCCGGGCCGCAUGCGCGCCCAGACCCGAGGCUUCACCUGACUUGUGGUCGGUCCAUUCUCACCUGGUGGGAAGAGGGCGGGACCGGGGCGGGCAAGUUACCGCCAGGAGAAAAUCACCUUCGCCUCAAAUCCCCAACGUAACACGAACAGGUUAACCGGAGAUAAACUUUGUUCGGCUUGACUGUCAACGCACAUUGGCGAGCUGGGCCGAUCGUCACACAGUAGUGACUCCAUUGAGACGCCUUUCUUACCGAAUGGGGUAGGGGAAUAUCAUUGUGCCCCUGCUCGUACACACACACCUUGUACCGACAUAAUAACACAUGACAAGCACACAAACUGUAGCAACACGCAGCUCGGAGAAACAUGCUUUCCGAGACACGCAUGGCUGCGGGACCAACAAACAUGUCCCGCGCCUCUUGGCCACGGAGAGCCCGCUGGAGUCCAUCCCCGACCAAACUGUUGUUGUAACGGUCGCGGAAAGAGAAUACUUCACCAGGAUAAAGAUGAUUCUGAACCCCGACAAGCAGCUGGCUGAAGCACCGUUUCUCUCCCACCACAUUGCCGGCUCAGAUGCUUACCCUGUCCGCUUCAGUGGCGACUUUCUCCACGUGCGACCGUCAAUGGAAGGUUACAGUGGCUCUACACACAAAGACCCGGUUCUGGGGCUUUCUCGCCUGACGGAGUCGGUGAUUUAUCAGUCGGGUCCUUAUCACGACCACGGCCACGGCUCUGCUCUUCCAUCACCACACAAGCCUUGUCCCAACGGCUGACAAUAACGGCAGAGAUAACAACAACAACAAGUGGGAGAAAUAAAACGUGACUGUGACAACAACUUAACACAGGGGUGAAAGUAAUGAGAAAACGAUAAGGACUACAGCUAGGCAUUGCCUAAAGGAAAAGGUUGUGAAGUAGAGAGGAACACAGUUCAUGUUUCUUUCUGUUGGCAAGUUUAUUCCAACGGCUAUGCCAUCAUUCAUGUUGUAAUAAGUUACAUUGCUGUAGUAAAAAGUUACACCAUGUCUAUUUAGAAGUUAUGCUCUUGGAGAUAAGAAAGAUGUUUCUGUGUGUUGUGAUGAAAAUUUAAGCCAUGUCUCCCAAUCAAGCAUCCCCAAGACAAUGAUAAAACAAGCAAACACAUGGUCUAGACAGGUGUGUGCAACAACCAGUAUAUUUCGUUUUAAGGCGUUUACUGCUGUUUUUGUACGAUUAGAAUAUAGAGAGCCUGCCUCCAUGUCAUAUAUUUGAACUAUGUACAUGUAUAUCCAUGUAUUUGAGAAGUGUCCGUCAAGCCUGGACACAGGCUAGUUAUCUGAGUUUCCCCACGGCCUGUUAAGGAUGUGUACGUUACGUUACGUUACGUGAAGUUUACCGUUCUGUGCUCUCAUGCUGUAGGUGACCCCUCCUCUGUCAUGUCUUGCCUCGGUUGUGGCGCAGCACGACGGAACAAGUUUUCCGAGCUGGUGGCAUUGCCGAUAGUGGGAUUCGGCCCAGGGGCCUGUGAUAUAUACUGUACAUAUUAUUUCAGUGACUUCCAUGUAUUGAAACUUCAUUUGGUAUAUGAAACUGUAGCACAACACAACUAACGCUAGGACGUAAUAAUCUUUUUAAAAAUAAAGUGAAGAAAGCUA